CAAUAGCGUAUAUUAAAGUUGUUGCAGUUAAAAAGCUCGUAGUCGGAUUUCUGGUGGGAGCGAUCGGUCUGGCGCUUAGCGCGAGUACUUGCAUCGUCUCCGGCCAUCCUUGGGGAAAGUCUGUCUGGCAUUAAGUUGUCGGGCAGAGGAUCCUCAUCGUUUACUGUGAAAAAAUUAGAGUGUUCAAAGCAGGCUUAUGCCGUUGAAUAUAUUAGCAUGGAAUAAUAAGAUAGGACUUUGGUACUAUUUUGUUGGUUUGCGCACCAAAGUAAUGAUUAAUAGGGACAGUUGGGGGUAUUCGUAUUCCGUUGUCAGAGGUGAAAUUCUUGGAUUUACGGAAGACGAACUACUGCGAAAGCAUUUACCAAGGAUGUUUUCAUUAA
rnacentral:rRNA from 1 species